GACGAACGCUGGCGGCGUGCUUAACACAUGCAAGUCGAACGAAGAGCGAUGGAAGCUUGCUUCUAUCAAUCUUAGUGGCGAACGGGUGAGUAACGCGUAAUCAACCUGCCCUUCAGAGGGGGACAACAGUUGGAAACGACUGCUAAUAACGCAUACGAUCUAAUCUCGGCAUCGGGACUGGAUGAAAGGUGGCUUCUAUUUAUAAGCUAUCACUGAAGGAGGGGAUUGCGUCUGAUUAGCUAGUUGGAGGGGUAACGGCUCACCAAGGCGAUGAUCAGUAGCCGGUCUGAGAGGAUGAACGGCCACAUUGGGACUGAGACACGGCCCAGACUCCUACGGGAGGCAGCAGUGGGGAAUCUUCCGCAAUGGACGAAAGUCUGACGGAGCAACGCCGCGUGAGUGAUGACGGCCUUCGGGUUGUAAAGCUCUGUUAAUCGGGACGAAUGGUUCUUGUGCGAAUAGUGCGAGGAUUUGACGGUACCGGAAUAGAAAGCCACGGCUAACUACGUG
rnacentral:rRNA from 1 species